GGGCACUUAGCUCAGUUGGUUAGAGCGCAAACUUGACGUGUUUGAGGUCAGUGGUUCGACUCCACUAGUGCCCACCA
rnacentral:tRNA from 1 species